AAUUACUAUCAUAAAUUACAUAAAAAAUUUUGAUCUGUAAUUAUAUUCAUAAUGCUCACUUUACAAAUAAACAUAAUUUACACAAAAUUUUUGAAUUGAUCAAAACACUAAUGUGUUGCUUCUAUGCCCAAUAUAACUUACACUAAAUUGUCUCAUUCAAUUACACUAGUUUUAUCUUUUGAAUUUAGAAAUAGAAGUUAUUAAAUGUUGGUGGCUCAUCAUGCAGUGCAUAUGAGAAUGGCAUGCUUUCAAAGGUUAAGACUGCUCCCCUGAUUCCUACAGCCAAAAAACAUUUUUAAAAUGCUGGUGAUAGUAUUUUAAAGAGUGAACCUGAUCGAAAAGUAGGUGAAUGACGUCAACUGUUCGAACAUUCGAUUCUUGGAAAUUAACAAGUGGAAGAAGAAGUUUAUAAAAUUGUAAUUUAUAAAACUCAUCACAAUUAUAUUAUUAAAAAAAUUUAAACGA
rnacentral:lncRNA from 1 species